UUAGAAGUUUUUUUUUCUGCUCAGAUUGAACGCUGGCGGCAGGCCCUAACACAUGCAAGUCGAGCGGUAGCACAGAGAGCUUGCUCUCGGGUGACGAGCGGCGGACGGGUGAGUAAUGUCUGGGAAACUGCCUGAUGGAGGGGGAUAACUACUGGAAACGGUAGCUAAUACCGCAUAACGUCGCAAGACCAAAGUGGGGGACCUUCGGGCCUCAUGCCAUCAGAUGUGCCCAGAUGGGAUUAGCUAGUAGGUGGGGUAACGGCUCACCUAGGCGACGAUCCCUAGCUGGUCUGAGAGGAUGACCAGCCACACUGGAACUGAGACACGGUCCAGACUCCUACGGGAGGCAGCAGUGGGGAAUAUUGCACAAUGGGCGCAAGCCUGAUGCAGCCAUGCCGCGUGUGUGAAGAAGGCCUUCGGGUUGUAAAGCACUUUCAGCGGGGAGGAAGGCGAUAAGGUUAAUAACCUUGUCGAUUGACGUUACCCGCAGAAGAAGCACCGGCUAACUCCGUGCCAGCAGCCGCGGUAAUACGGAGGGUGCAAGCGUUAAUCGGAAUUACUGGGCGUAAAGCGCACGCAGGCGGUCUGUCAAGUCGGAUGUGAAAUCCCCGGGCUCAACCUGGGAACUGCAUUCGAAACUGGCAGGCUAGAGUCUUGUAGAGGGGGGUAGAAUUCCAGGUGUAGCGGUGAAAUGCGUAGAGAUCUGGAGGAAUACCGGUGGCGAAGGCGGCCCCCUGGACAAAGACUGACGCUCAGGUGCGAAAGCGUGGGGAGCAAACAGGAUUAGAUACCCUGGUAGUCCACGCCGUAAACGAAGGCGAUUUGGAGGUUGUGCCCUUGAGGCGUGGCUUCCGGAGCUAACGCGUUAAAUCGCGCCGCCGGGGGAGGC
rnacentral:rRNA from 2 species